AUUGAACGCUGGCGGCAGGCCUAACACAUGCAAGUCGAGCGAGCGGCGGACGGGUGAGUAAUGUCUGGGAAACUGCCUGAUGGAGGGGGAUAACUAAAGGAAACGGUAGAUAAUACCGCAUAACAUCUGGUGUGCCCAGAUGGGAGUAGCUCGUGGGUGGGGUAACGGCUCACCUAGGCGACGAUCCCGAGCUGGUCGGAGAGGAUGACAAGCCACACUGGAACGGAGACACGGUCCAGACUCCUACGGGAGGCACCAGUGGGGAAUAUUGGACAAUGGGCGAAAGCCUGAUCCAGCAAUGCCGCGUGUGUGAAGAAGGUCUUCGGAUUGUAAAGCACUUUAAGUGGGGAGGCGUUACCAACAGAAUAAGCACCGGCUAACUUCGUGCCAGCCGCCGCGGUAAUUC
rnacentral:rRNA from 1 species